CAAAGUCAUGCAGUGCCUGGCUUCCUUGGAACUUCAGAGGGUGACAUUCAUCAGCCUUGUGAGAUACCUGUGAACAUGUUGAUGUGGAGCUGGCGAAGAUCCUCCAAGGCAAAGAAAAAACUGCAUCACCAGAGUCAGCUGAACACGGCUAACGCUCAGCCAGCUGUUCCUAAUCUGCUCAGUGACUCAUCCCCACUCAGCUCUGAUUUUUUUUUAACAUAUUUCCUCCCCACCUAUGGUCUUAAUUGUGAUUCUCUCUUUCCUUUUUAUCAUCCUCUUCCAACGCAGUCCUAUGACAGGUGGCACACCUGGACGGAGACUGCCAGGGGCUGCAACAGGACCCUGAGUGAGAAUCAACAGAUAACUCAGCAUGAACACCUGCUGGGUGUAUGUUCAAUGACAAAUGGUCUAGAACAAGCACUAAAUGUAUAAGCAAAGAGGUGCCUCUGAAGUCAGACAGCCAACCGGGUCAAGGAAGGGCAAGCAUUCCCAGUCACAGCCAACUCCAACUACGACGAUUUACCAUGGGAAGGAAGGUGGUUUUCCAGAGGAUGUGAAGCUACAGCAGCAGAGACAUUAGUCAGGUGCACCUCAUUUCCAAUUUGUGCCAUGGCAGGAGCAGCAUUUAUUUGUGCCACUGGGUUACGCGUGCACCCAAGUACCUGCAUAACUUGAUGGAAGAGAGCAGAAGCAUACUAGAGAAGAUGAGACCUUGAAUGCUCAUCUCUGCCUUUGGAGGUACUUUCCUAUACAUCUCUGGCAAAUCUUACAUUUUAUGCAAAAAUAAAGAGGUGGCUUCUCUGACCCAGAUCUUAAAAGUGGGCUCCCAGGAUCUCUGUGAAUAUGAAAGUUAAGUCUGAUUUACACAGGUUAGGAAUUGCAAUCAACUUUCAGCAUUCUAGACUUAACAGUAAUAAGGUCUCCUCUUAUCCCGCAAUUAUAACAUUUUUACAAGUGUACUGUUCAUCACCAGUUAGUACUGAAUAACUUGAUGGGCAGACAAAAAUAUGUAGCUUAAAUAAAAGAUUAUUUUCAAUGUUAAGGGAACCAAAAUUAUUUUAUAACACUGACUUUUUUCACCCUAUUUCAAUAUUUAUGCACUCAUGUCAGCUCAGGUACUUGAGAAAGAAGCUUCAGUUUCUGCUUCAUGUCACUUUUGGAGUCUGCUCCUCAUUAGUUUUGGCAACUGGUUCUCCAAACCAGAACUGAAUCUUCUUUCAUAGAUUUUGUGUUUAUAUGAUUCCUGACUUUAAAAGUUAAGACAGAAUUGUUAAAAUGGGAGACUAUAUAUAUAUUUUAUUUUUUUUUUUAAGAUUUCACAAGCUAUCAAACUUCCAGAAAAUCUAGGGAGUUUUUGUCCUUUGAUGGGUAAUGAAGUGUUCUAAAACACUCAGUGAAGAGUUCUCCCUUGACAAAGAAUAAAUAAUAUUUUGUAUUAAUGGAAAAUCCUCCAAAGCUUUUGUCUUUCCAACAUGUUUAUUAAAUCUUAAACAAAAUAUAAGCCCUACAGUGCUUUUUUUAUGGCUCAGUUUAACACUAACUACUGUUUUAUUUUAACUAAAUGCUUUUGUUGCAUUGCAUAAUAAUAAAAAUAAAGUCAUAAAAAGCA